rnacentral:rRNA from 1 species
GGAUGGUCCAKCAYRCYGCAUGGYGUGUUGGGAAAGMYUUWKCGGCRUGGGAUGGGGUCGCGUCCUAUCAGCUUGAYGGYGGGGURAYGGCCYACCRUGGCUUCGACGGGUAGCCGGCCUGAGAGGGCGACCGGCCACAUUGGGACUGAGAUACGGCCCAGACUCCUACGGGAGGCAGCAGUGGGGAAUAUUGCACAAUGGGCGCAAGCCUGAUGCAGCGACGCCGCGUGAGGGAUGGAGGCCUUCGGGUUGUAAACCUCUUUUAKCAGGGAGCAAGGCUUCGGUUGAGUGUACCUGUUGAAUAAGCACCGGCUAACUACGUGCCAGCAGCCGCGGUAAUACGUAGGGUGCAAGCGUUAUCCGGAAUUAUUGGGCGUAAAGGGCUCGUAGGCGGUUCGUCGCGUCYGGUGUGAAAGUCCAUCGCUUAACGGUGGAUCYGCGCCGGGUACGG